GGAUGCACAUAGGUGCAUUGAGUCGAUGAAUGGACGCUGGUAAGUGAUUGCUUGAUUUUCAUCUGCAUCUAAAAACUUUUGUUAUCUCAUGCAAACUGCAUUGAAGAUUUUUACCGAAACUUAUUAGUUCCUCUCCUCCAUUAUGUAUGACACUGUUUCCUUUUUAGUUUGUUCUUGAAAGAACGACCUUUCUAUUUUUGGGAACCCUUUAAUGUCAUGCUCUCACGGCCACAAAAAUCCAUGGCAUGUUUAAGGCCACAAGUUCCAAUUGUACUUUUGGUGUGUAGCAAAAAUCUUAUCUUUCUUUCUUAUAAUUCAUGCCUAGUCAAACACAAUAUAAAUUAGAACGGAUGGAGUAUAUAUAAACAAGCAUUAGUGUAUCUCGUGAAGUUGCUUUUCUAGAUCGACAGCAGAGUAAUCAGAACCUGCGUAUUGUUCUUGUUUUUUGUUUAUGUGAUUUGACUCAUAUUCGUUUGUUGCAACAGGUUUGCUGGUAGGCAAAUCCAUGCUAGUGAGGAUGAUGGAUCUGUUAACCAUGCUUUAGUCCGAGAUAUAGAUGAAGAAACUGAUAGAUUGGAGAAGUUUGGAGCUGAACUUGAAGCUGAUUCAUAGAUGUGGAAAUAGUAGCAACACUUAUUUUUGCUUGCUAUACAUCCCAUAUGUCUAUGCAACUCUUUGAAUACGAAUCCGUUUUCUGAAAGAUUCUGACUGCCAUACUUUGGUGAGAACUCCAAUGUCUUGCAAAAAGUGGUGAUGGGCGCUGACCUCGUGGCAUGCCAACUAGAUUUGUCAUCGCAAGUAAUGGGUCAUCUCCUAGUUUUCUUUGGAGUACAUGUAACAUGAUCAAUUGAAUGAGAAAAUAGUCUUUUCUUGGUGAAGUGGAGUAGAACUUUCUCUAGCACUUUAACUUUCGGAACGUGACAUGCUUUGUAAGUAUCGUAGCUACAAAAAUUUGUUCGAUGAUCACUUGUUUUCACUUUCUUUUGUUGUUAUGUUCCGUUCCUUUGACCUUGCACGAUAGGAGUAAGUUCUGUAUACAUCUUUGCGUACAUCUGUUCAAACUUUAUUUUGUUGGAUUAUCGUGGAUAUGUUGUUUGUCAUUUUAUGUAGACUUGUAUGGUAUACUUUCUAAGGAAUGUACUUUUAUUUUUAAAAAUGUUAAA
rnacentral:lncRNA from 1 species